UGUAGUGGUGAAAUGCGUAGAUAUCGGGAGGAACACCAGUGGCGAAGGCGGCCUCCUGGGUCGCCCCUGACGCUCAGACGCGAAAGCUAGGGGAGCAAACGGGAUUAGAUACCCCGGUAGUCCUAGCUGUAAACGAUGUGGACUUGGCGUUGGUGGGGUCAAAUCCAUCAGUGCCGUAGCUAACGCGAUAAGUCCACCGCCUGGGGACUACGGUCGCAAGGCUAAAACUCAAAGGAAUUGGCGGGGGCCCGCACAAGCAGCGGAGCGUGUGGUUUAAUUCGAUUCUACACGAAGAACCUUACCCGGGUUUGACAUCCAGGUGGUAGGGAACCGAAAGGCGACCGACCCUUCGGGGAGCCUGGACAGGUGCUGCAUGGCUGUCGUCAGCUCGUGUCGUGAGAUGUCCGGUUAAGUCCGGUAACGAGCGCAACCCUUGCUGUAUGUUAUACGUGUCAUACAGGACUGCCGGUUUAGUGCCGGAGGAAGGCGGGGAUGACGUCAAGUCAGCAUGGCCUUUAUAUCCGGGGCUACACACACGCUACAAUGGCCAGUACAACAGGUUGCAAAACCGCGAGGUGGAGCCAAUCCCCAAAACUGGUCUCAGUUCAGAUUGCAGGCUGCAACUCGCCUGCAUGAAGUCGGAGUUGCUAGUAACCGCGCGUCAGCUAUAGUGCGGUGAAUACGUUCUCGGGCCUUGCACACACCGCCCGUCACGUCAUGGAAGCUGACAACACCUGAAGCCGGUAUCCUAACCGCAAGGAUGGAGCCGUCGAAGGUGGGGUUGGUGACUGGGACGAAGUCGUAACAAGGUAGCC
rnacentral:rRNA from 1 species